CUAAUUUUAACAAAGCCAUCAUCCAGCCACAAGAACAGGAGAUGACAGAUGACUUUGAUCACUACACCAACACUUACCUGGAUAAGAACCCAGGGGAUGUACAAAAGGUUUUUGGCUUGCCAGGGACCGUCAACUGGAAACAACAUUUGCAGAUUCAAGAUGUUUACAGAAUAAAAGGCCAAGAAGAUGAAGUCACUUGUCCAAGGUCACAGAGCCACUAAGUACAGA